GACGAACGCUGGCGGCGUGCUUAACACAUGCAAGUCGAACGGAAAGGCCCUGCUUUUGUGGGGUGCUCGAGUGGCGAACGGGUGAGUAACACGUGAGUAACCUGCCCUUGACUUUGGGAUAACUUCAGGAAACUGGGGCUAAUACCGGAUAGGAGCGCCUGCUGCAUGGUGGGGGUUGGAAAGUUUCGGCGGUUGGGGAUGGACUCGCGGCUUAUCAGCUUGUUGGUGGGGUAGUGGCUUACCAAGGCUUUGACGGGUAGCCGGCCUGAGAGGGUGACCGGCCACAUUGGGACUGAGAUACGGCCCAGACUCCUACGGGAGGCAGAAGUGGGGAAUAUUGCACAAUGGGCGGAAGACUGAUGCAGCAACGCCGCGUGCGGGAUGAAGGCCUUCGGGUUGUAAACCGCUUUCGCCUGUGACGAAGCGUGAGUGAAGGUAAUGGGUACAGAAGCACCGGCUAACUACGUG
rnacentral:rRNA from 1 species